CCUACGGGUGGCAGCAGUGAGGAAUAUUGGUCAAUGGACGAGAGUCUGAACCAGCCAAGUAGCGUGAAGGAUGACUGCCCUAUGGGUUGUAAACUUCUUUUAUAUGGGAAUAAAACGUUCCACGUGUGGGAUUUUGUAUGUACCAUAUGAAUAAGGAUCGGCUAACUCCGUGCCAGCAGCCGCGGUAAUACGGGGGAUCCGAGCGUUAUCCGGAUUUAUUGGGUUUAAAGGGAGCGUAGGUGGAUUGUUAAGUCAGUUGUGAAAGUUUGCGGCGCAACCGUAAAAUUGCAGUUGAAACUGGCAGUCUUGAGUACAGUAGAGGUGGGCGGAAUUCGUGGUGUAGCGGUGAAAUGCUUAGAUAUCACGAAGAACUCCGAUUGCGAAGGCAGUUCACUGGACUGCAACUGACACUGAGGCUCGAAAGUGUGGGUAUCAAACAGGAUUAGAUACCCCAGUAGUC
rnacentral:rRNA from 1 species